GGUGGCGGCGGCGGAACCGGGCGGGCGGCGCGGCCAUGGAGGCGCCCUCGGUACCGGACGCCUCGGCGACGGGGCGGGGGCCCAUCAAGGGCAUCCUGAAGAAGAGCGGCAGCAAGGCGUCGUCGGGAGCCGCCGUGGGGGUGCGACAGACCAGCCAGGCCUGCGAUGAGGACGAGCCCGGUAAAAAAUCCCAGAAGUGGGAUGAAAUGAAUAUCAUAGCUACGUACCACCCUGCAGGCAAAGAUUAUGGCUUGAUGAAAAUCGAUGAGCCAAGCACUCCUUACCACAGCAUGAUAGGAGAAGAUGAUGAGGAUGCAGUGAGUGAUUCAGAAUAUGAGCCCUUAAGAGCAGAUGUGUUGAGUAAAAAACUGGCAGCUGCAGCUGAAGGUAGAGGACCCAAGAUUAUAGCAAGGCAAGAAGAAAGCAGUGAGGAGGAGGACGAGGAUGAAGAAUUAACACCUGAAGAACGGGAGAAAAAGAAACAGUUUGAAAUGAAGAGAAAAAUGCACUACAAUGAAGGAAGAAACAUCAAACUGGCAAGGCAGCUCAUUGCAAAAGAACUGCAUGGUGAAGAAGAGGAAGAUGAUGAGGAUGAAGAGAUGCGUGAUGCUGCAGAUGUAGAAACAAUGAGUACAGAAGCUACCGAACAUGGUGAGCUACUGAUUAAAUAAAAAGCACCUACUGAGAUUUCUUGCUGAUUGAAAUGAAGAUGGCCAGUCCAGUCAGUGAUGCACAUGUUACUCGUGACCAGCUGGAAAGUAGAGCACACAGCAUAGAAGAAAUCUGUCCAGAACUGUAACUGCUUGUCAAAGACACAAAUAUAAACAUCGCUUCAUGAUUUUUGCAAUUAAGGCUCUUAAAUGUUAAGAAGCAUAUCAGUUACAAUGUUGUAUUGCCAAGAAUGUUAAUUUUAGACUUGUCCAUUAGGCAGAAAACACUGUCUAAUUGAUUUUUUUCUUGUGCCUAGUAUUUCAUGGAGAAUACUGCUUCAUAAUUUGUUCAACCAGAAUGGCAUUCCCUGUAUGUAUAGCGCUGAUUAUCUUGCGUGAUGUAUUGUUUCUCUUGCUUUGAAACACUCACUAUCUUUUGGUUUUUCACUAUUUAUUUGAGAGUGUUCUAGAUGUGGUGUCUCAUACAGAAAGUUUUGGGAUUCAAGAGCCAAACGGUACAGCGUAUAUCAGAUUGACAUGUAAGCUAUUUAUCAGAUGUGUUAAGCAGUUUAAAAAGGGAUUAUUCAAGUCCUACAACUUUUUUUUUUGUAAAGUGUUGACCUGUUAAUCUAGAUUUCAGUACGUUUUUACUGCACUUUCCCAGUCUUUAGAACAAGAGCUGUGUUACUUCUUAAGAGCGGUGUUUGGAAUUGGUUGUUAGUUUCUGACUAAAGCAGUACUAACAUCUGGUGGAGGGAGUGUUUUUACACUGGAAACGGCUAACUUGAACUUUGCAUUUAACUUUCAUAACCUCUUCCAUCAGGACUGGUUGUUUUGUGGAGCUCUCUCUGGCUUAUUGUGAGAACGUGCAAGUUUCCUCCAGCUUUUCUCUUAAAAUCACAUCCACUGUUGUUCUUCUGGCUCUUGUUUCAAACGUUUGGUUCUUUCCAGUUGCAUGAACAGUGUUUGUGCUGUUAGCACCUGAGGAAAUACACCCAGCCACGACGAAAUAUACAUCAGGACUGAAGAUGUGCUGAGCUUAGGCUCUGGCUGUUCUUUAUUAAAGAUAACUGCUGUUGAUCUACUCAUUUGGGGUUGGCAACUUCCAUACUGAAAACCACUGGUCUAAAUCUUCCUGUGUCCAUUGCAACUUACAGCAACUGCUUUUGUAAAAUGAAGGCUUUUUGGAAGCUAGAAGGGAAACUGCUUAAUUCAAAUACCUGUUUACAGUGUGGUUGUAUAGCCGUAAAGAGGCAUUCUGCACCUCCAAAUUGCUGUAAAAACUUCCCACUGGGUAGAAUUUGACUGGUGAAUGUUCCAGUAUUCAGAGUAGUUUCUGGGUUUUAUUAUACAAACAAAGUACACACUUAAGCUUUAGCUUGAUUAUGAAAUACAGUGUAUAUCUUAAUUUUGAUCUGAAUUUGAUAUGUUGCAAAAAUCCAUAUAAUUAUAUGGAUCUAUUUUAAAAUGUCUUUUUCUCCACUGUAUAUGUGAAGUUUGAAUAAAGGAAUGAAAGUUAUUUUACAGUUACAUGCAUUCUCAAGUGUGAGCUUUCCUGGAGUUCCAGAGAAACUGAGAGUGAAUAAGGCAAUAGGAUGCUGUCCUUGCAAAGAUUUUUACAGGAGUGAUUCAUUAGACUGGAUGCAUUGCCAAAGAUACCUGUGAGUUGUGCUAACUGGGUUUUGUAGUGUGCCUUUCCCAACUCCUCUCCUUAGUAGGUAACAGGAUUGUCAGUUUUGAGUUAGUUAAUCUUCUAAGGUCCUGAAUCAAGAUUAAUAGGGUCUUUUCACAAGAAAGAGUUGAACUCUUGAUUCAGGCCAGUGUGGUGAUGCUAAUUUUUCAACAUGCAGGAUGCUAUUUCUUCUUGCAUCAAAUGUCACCUGCAUGGAGUAAACAGGGGUAAAGGGUAAGCAUUUAAAUACUUCUGACUGGCCAAGUCACUUACUGCUGCAUCUUUCAAUUUGGGCUCCCAAGAAUAGGAGUUCAAAACUUUAAGUUUGUACCCUUUAUAUACCAGCUUGCAAUGUCCAGAGUGUUGGCCUGUGUAGAGCUGUAGAGCUUUAUGAGCUGCUGGCCUGGCCUGCCCCACUGAGAGGGACAGUGAAAUCUGAAGUCUGCUGAGAGGAUGGCAGUGCUUGGCAAAGCCACAUCGUUGUCAGACUGAGCAUGGAUGUGGUGAGCAAUGUGUGCUGGUAACACCACUGUGAUCUGUGAGGCUUUGGAACAUAUCACUUGUACUUUGUGCUAAGUACCCAUGGGUACUUUGUACCUGCAAUUAAGGUAGAAUCUAGCAGCAGCAGCUCUUAACAGAGCUAAUGUCCUGCCCUCCUUAACCCCCCACUUUCUUGUGUCCAAGGCCACCUGGUGCUCAGCAGGGCUUCUUUGUACCUUACAAGGUCUAGAAAGCAUUUUGUUUAACAAACUUCGCUAACUUCCAAUAAAGACCUUUCCUGUAACAGCUUCCAAAAUCCCUAAUGAAAUGAGUAUGUAGCUUUGAGGGAGGUAGACGAAUACAUAAAGAUAGUUUUCAAUGAACUGCAUAAUGUAUAAUAGGUCCCUUCAUCACUCAGAUGAUUUUAAGCUGCUUGGGUGAUCUCCCUUUUUCUGUGCCACCAAGCACCUAAAUUCCAAGUUUGAUGCUAUUUUGAAACUUGAUUUAGUUUGAGUUUUUUUUAAAGGCUUUGUUCUCUUCAUUCUCCUCAGUGCUUGCAAAAAUUCUGUUCCCGGUGCUCCUUUGUCCUCCUCAGCAGAAGUGCAACCUGAUGUCCCUGACAUUGCUUCUAAUUGAAAGGCUGGUUUACUUGGUUUUCUCUGCUUACACCUUGAUGCAUUUUAAAAGCUAAGUCGAGAAAGUUUUAAUUUGCAGUAGCUCCAGAUACUCCAUAUAGCUUUUUUUACAAAGGGAUGUCUGACUUCCUUGUGCUUGAGAAAUAUUAGAGUUCCCUGCUGAAUGGGGACAGGAAAAGAAAUGCCUUUUCUCUUUUUACAUUUGAUGGGGACUUAGCUUUCAUGCACAUCUUCAUCUUUAGGUGCAUAUGGUAAAGAUUCCUGUGUACAAUAUAGAGUGGUGUAAAGAGGAAAUAAACACAGCCCUUACUUAUAUGGACAGUGAGCUCCACAGCACCAUAAUUGUGAAUCUUCUUGCACAGGUUUUAGUCCUCAAGCUGCAUCCUGUUUAGAGAAAGCAUUUUCAAUAUGCUUCCAAUAGGAAGAUCAAUUGCAAAUAAGAGCCUUAACUCAUUUGUAUAGAUUUUUUUGUGUCUUUAGUUUCUUUCCCACCAACUUGUACACAAUUCAUGGAAACUGCAGAUACUUUUUCCACAGUUCACUCUCUCAUGUGAAACUUGUACAUCUUACCAGAACUCUUUGUUUCUGUAACAUGCUUUUUGUGGUAUUAUGAUGCCACCUCACAAUGUAAUUAUUCUGUUUGAAACCAGUGUUGAGUGUCACAACAUAAAUAAAACCAUUGUUUUCAUUACUGCCUUAUGGCACUAAUACUAA